CUCUGAUCACUGCUUUUACCGGAACGAAAACUCGACUUGUUACUUGGAUACUUCAUUGACUCAUUUUACAGCGCUGCUAUUUUGAAGGUUUAUAAACAUUGAUAAUAAUGAUAAUUAGGAUAAACUUUACUAUCAAUAAUCUCAUUUAAUGACUCUGGGGGAGGAAGGGUAGAGAGCCAGUUGGAGUGACACAGUGUUUGAUAAAGGCGAGAGUACAUAAAGCCGGGGCAUAGUUCAUGGAUACAUUAUCACUUUAUGGAGACAGAC